rnacentral:rRNA from 1 species
CAGCCGCCGCGGUAAUGCGAGGGGGGCAAGCGUUGUUCGGAAUUAUUGGGCGUAAAGGGUGCGUAGGCGGUUUCGUAAGUCUUAUGUGAAAUCUAUGGGCUCAACCCAUAGUCUGCAUGGGAAACUGCGAGGCUUGAGGAUGGGAGAGGUGAGUGGAAUUUCCGGUGUAGCGGUGAAAUGCGUAGAUAUCGGGAGGAACACCUGUGGCGAAAGCGGCUCACUGGACCAUUUCUGACGCUGAUGCACGAAAGCUAGGGGAGCAAGCAGGAUUAGAUACCCGCGUAGUCCCUGUCUCUUAUAC